AUUUAUUGACUCCUUACAUUUUACAGUAUGCUGGCUCUCAGCCAUAAGUGUACCUUUUAGGAGCUCCCCCUGUUAGGAGUGGAAACACUAAAACAAAAUGUCUCUCUGUAGUGAUUCCAGCAGGUAUGGUGUCCUGAAAGCCUUGUACAUGUCUCUAGGGUUUUACCCUAAUGGCAGUGGGAAACCACUGAAUCAGUUUUAGGUGGGAAGCAGUGUGAUUAGAUGUGUGGUUUCUAUCUCCACUCUGUAGUGUGGAUGCCUGGCUGGAAGAGUGCAGGAUAGGAAGCUGGAAAGACCAGGGCACUUGGAGUUGUCUGGGUAAGAAAAUGAGGCUGGAACUAGGAAGGUGGUAUGGGGAGAAACCCAAGGCACAGACAUUUGAAGGAUAGGCAAAGAAGGAGUUUUUCAAAGAGUCCAAGAAAGGGCAGCUGGAGAGGUGGGAAGAAAACUAGGAGAAAGUAUUCUCUCCAAGAACUGAUGGAACAGGUUGCCUCUAGAGAAGGGAGUUGAGAGGAAAAGGAAAAGAUCUCAUAUUUUUCUAGAUGCCAGCAAGUUUAUGUAGCUCUUGUCAUUUAAUUAUUCUCCAGAUCCUAAUUAGUAAUAAUUAUCUCCAUUUCACAGAUGAGAAAAUUAAGAUGCAAAGAUGGUAUGGGAGUAAAGUGAAAAGACUAGCCUAGGAAUGAUGAGCAAAUGUCUGCUCUUCUGAGGCAGCUCUGCCUCACAUACCCAGGAUUCCAGGCGGGUAUUGACCUUGGGAGUUUCCCCAAGGAGUGGAGACACUCCUAUCUUAUCACUGCCUGUGGUCCAUACAGACUCUAAAGACCAGAGGCCUGGAAGUGGUUUCAUUCCAGCUUCCUCCUGAUCUGGGGUCUUCUACAUCCAUCAGCGCUUAAAAAAUAUUUUAUAAGCUCAUUCAUCUUCAAUUUGACAUGUAUUUUUGAGUACGAGCUUUAUUCAAAGAACCACAUUGGAAACAAAUACAAAGAUCUCUAUAUCCCAUCUUCACCAAUUUUCUGGACCUGAACUUAGAAAAGGGCAUUUCUGGUCUACCAUCUCCCUGCACACACAG